UGAUGUUUGAUUCACUCUCUGAAGUUUGAGUGUCCACCUUCCGUCAACUGGUAUGGAGCAUCGACCUUGAAUAUUAAAGAGACAUGAUUGUCAAUCAUUGCUGAUUUUUCUUCUUCUAUUAGUAGUUGCCACUUGAAUUUCGAUUUGUCCUAUCUGAUGUCCAGUACCAAACUUCCAAUGGGCAACUUUCUUUGAGAUGUUGAAGUCAAUACUAGCUAACUCGAGAUUCC
rnacentral:lncRNA from 1 species